GCCAUCUGCCCUGCGCAGCGGCUGCUCGUGUUCCCCGUGGUGUAAGAGCCUUUUAGUAGCACAACAGCAGUUUUCCUCAAGUCCUACUCGUGGAGAGCCCAGGGCAGGGCUGGGCGCUCACCCGCAUCCCCUGGGGCUAGAUCAGCACGGGGAGGCCAAUCAGCGGGAGCUGCAAGGGCUCUGCAGAACCGCCUGACAGAGGAAGUGGAGAGGAGUCUGUCGAGUCAAACUGAUGCAGAAAAAGCGAGAAGAACUGGAGUACUAACCUAAAUUGUGGAGUUCCUACAAAAACUACCACAAAUAGCCGAACCCAUAAUUUUUCCAUGUUACCCAAAAUCAUUAAAUUGCAACAACAGCUCAUCUAGCUGGAGUCAAGUCAACAGUAAUAGCUGUUGGGACAAGAAAAAGAAACCCAGUGGAAAAUUCUCUGACAGCUGCUUCUGAAUAUUUGAGAUCUACUCAGCUGAACGCGUGAGCUGAGCAAAGGCCUUUUGAAAAUUUGAACAUUCAAAAUGAAAUUGUUGAAUUAUUGGAGGCAUAGUCUUUGACUAGCUCUACUUCCAGGAGUAGACCCAUGUAACCUGUGAAAAGUGAAUAGUAACUCUUGAUUUUAUGUAAAAAUUACAAAAGGGGGAUUUUGUUAUUAUAAUAAUGAUUAUUAGUUAAUGUGAUAAAUGCACCUAAAAAGAGUCUGAUUUGACCCAAUACUUAAAAUAAAUCAAGUUAUGAAAUUUCUACUUGC